rnacentral:misc_RNA from 1 species
ACACCUCAACUCUCAUGGUUUGCCAUGAUGAGCUUGGACUUUGGGGGUUUUGCUGGCCCUGUGGUCAGCUCCCCUCAAACAAAUCAGCUUGCCAGUGUAUGGCGGCGCCGCGGGUGUGAUAACUAUCUACACUUGCGGUCGUCCGUUGGGUAACCUUUGGCAACAGAGGUUCACUGGAGCUCAUAAAUGUCUCUCCUCAGUGAAGACAGCUUUUCAAAC